rnacentral:rRNA from 1 species
UACGUAGGGGGCAAGCGUUGUCCGGAAUCAUUGGGCGUAAAGCGCGUGUAGGCGGCCCGGUAAGUCCGCUGUGAAAGUCGGGGGCUCAACCCUCGAAUGCCGGUGGAUACUGUCGGGCUAGAGUGCGGAAGAGGCGAGUGGAAUUCCUGGUGUAGCGGUGAAAUGCGCAGAGUAUCAGGAGGAACACCAAUUGCGAAGGCAGCUCGCUGGGACGUGACUGACGCUGAGACGCGAAAGCGUGGGGAGCAAACAGG